rnacentral:lncRNA from 1 species
UGCUCUGUGUCUCUCCUGUUUUUGGUUGCGAUGAGAAGAAGUGACAUUCCCCAGAGUGAGGUUUGUAGUUGCUGUUCUCUAGAGGGGUGAUGUAUCUCUAUUUUUACCUGGCUGUAUUACCAUGGGUACGUACUCUGAACACAUAACCAGGUCAUGUUCAGAGUUUUGGUUUAAACUUGUCUCCAGGUGCCAUGUUUCAGUGCUUCUUACAUUAAAGUAUUUUUUAAAGUACAAUGUAGAUUCUUUUUUUAUUUCCAUUGUUGGGGAAUGCAUUUUAAAAGUGCGAGCUGGUAGCUCGUACAGUACUAAAAGAACUGAAUGAAGCAUGACAUAGCUCCUUCCUACUCUUAAUGAAUUUUAGGCCACAGGUCACAUUUACCCGUACAGUUAUUCUAUGCACUUUAAGGACUUUGGUUACCAGCUUUAUCUUUCUGAUAUCCAUGGUCAGUUUAUAACAUCCUGUUCCCUGCAUGCUGCUAGAUGCAGUUACACUAAGUGCAUGUGAACAUUUUACAAUCAAAGAACUUUGACUUCAGCAGCUUCAAAGACGUGUGCAGCAGAAAGCGAUCAAGAGAUUAAAGCGUGCAACACAGCAGAUAUCAUGUUUGAAAGUUGCCACAAAAUGAAAUUCAUGAGACCCCCUUUGGUGUCUGCUGCCCAUAUCCUGUCAGUUUAUGAUAUUGUGUGUAGACAGGAUGCUGAUUGGUUGAAAAACUACCCAGAGCAAGAGCAGCGUUAACCACAGAAGGAAGGAGUGUGUCAAAAAAAAGAGCCAGCAGAGAAACCCUGACAGACGGCAGUGGACAGUUCUCGUUGUCUUUAACACUUUCAUUUACUUUUGUGCAGCUAAGAUAAAAGAGCAACCGACAUUUUUAUUAAAACGUGUAAACACGAUGCAGAGCCUUGCAGAGCCAGAGCGCCAGCUGGUUAUUGAAUGAAUUUUCAAAAUAAGAGCGAGGUCCACUGAGUCUACCUGAUGGAGUCCAACAGCUGCAUCAAUGUUGAAUUUUUGGAUACAGCUGAGGAUUCCUUCUACUUUGGAGUGGUUCAACAAGAUACAGAUUUGAAGGAGGAUGAUUUCACACAGCCAAAAGACCAUCAUUGGUCCAUUGAGAGCACGAAUGGUUUUGGAUACCUCAUUUUAAACCAAGAAGACACAUUCGUGCUCCAGACCUGCUGUGAGAAGAAACUCUGCAUCAGGACCUAUCGGAGCUCUUUUGUAAACGAAAAGUUGCCAGUCAUGAUAUAUACCCAAAAGAAUGACCAGACAAUGGUGGCAUGUUGUAAGGAGCACAAAAUUCAAGCUGUACCAAUGGUAAGUACAAAAAGUCAUUCAGAGUUGGUUUUAGUGCACUCACAGUUAUUCUGA